GAAGUCGUUACUCCAACCCUUGUGGAGGAGGACGCCGAAGGUGGGGCUAAUGACUGGGGUGAAGUCGUAACAAGGUAGCCGUACCGGAAGGUGCGGCUGGAUCACCUCCUAACAGGGAGACAACAAAAUGUAAAUAUUAAUUUUGUCACCUUAGGUCGAUCGGUAUCUCAGAUUCUUAUUAUUUAAGAAUUUCAGUUUCUAAGUUUUUUCUAGGUCACACCCAUCACUUUUUCCUGGGCUAUUAGCUCAGGUGGUUAGAGCGCACCCCUGAUAAGGGUGAGGUCCCUGGUUCAAGUCCAGGAUGGCCCAUAUCUCUAUGUUGGGGGUAUAGCUCAGUUGGUAGAGCGCCUGCUUUGCAAGCAGGAUGUCAGCGGUUCGAGUCCGCUUACCUCCACUGAAUACCACCUCUUACAUAUAUUUGAAGUGGGAAAUUGUUUUGAGUCGUGUCCUAAUUUGCUCUGAGCGAAUCUAGCUUCCUAUUUUAUCCAAGAAAUAAGAUGCUGGACUCAUUGAAUUUUUAUUCAUUGUUUUCAGAGAACCUUGACAACUGCAUAGAUUAUUUUUAAAGACAAUAAGCAUCUUUAAUGAUGCAGAUUUAUUAUUUGUGCGAAUGCAUUAAAUAACAAUUCUAUUAAGCUGAUGCUUCAAUUAUUGAAGUUAUUGGUCAAGCUACAAAGGGCUCACGGAGGAUACCUAGGCACACAGAGGCGAUGAA
rnacentral:misc_RNA from 1 species